AAACUUUUGUAUCUCUGUGCAAACAAUCUUAGAAGAUCAUUUGGACAUGAUAGAGGAAAAUUCAGGAUUAAAGUAAAACGUACAGUAAAUAAUUUUACAAAGUCUUUUAAAUUUAUUAUGCAUAAUAGAUUUAAAGGUCACUUGUCAGUAGAGUGAAACGUGUUUACAUUUAUAAUGCCACACACAGUCUUCAUAUAGAACAGAAGAAGUAAAAGCACAAGUUGAGUUAUUUAGUACACAUUGAAAUGUUUAUGUUUUGUGGUCCAUCAAACAAUUUUUCUACUUCUGUUAUUUUUUUAGUUUUAACUAUUCAAAAAUACUUAAAGAGGGCAGUGUUAUCAUUGUGGCAAAUGAC